rnacentral:rRNA from 1 species
UACGGAAGGGGCAAGCGUUGUUCGGAAUCACUGGGCGUAAAGGGCGCGUAGGCGGCGCGAGCAGUCGAUCGUGAAAGUCCGGAGCUCAACUCCGGAUCGGCGGUCGAUACUCUCGUGCUUGAGCACUGUAGAGGCAGAUGGAAUUCCGGGUGUAGCGGUGGAAUGCGUAGAGAUCCGGAAGAACACCGGUGGCGAAGGCGGUCUGCUGGGCAGUUGCUGACGCUGAUGCGCGACAGCGUGGGGAGCAAACAGG